UGGUGUCCGCGGUGGGCGAUGCGGCGGAUGGCUCGCUGGCCACGAGCACGCUCGUGAAGACGUUCGAGGGCCCUCGGUUCGAUCCAGAGGGGCUCCGGCC
rnacentral:tRNA from 1 species